rnacentral:rRNA from 1 species
UACGUAGGGUCCGAGCGUUGUCCGGAAUUACUGGCGUAAAGAGCUCGUAGGUGGUUUGUCGCGUUGUUCGUGAAAACUCACAGCUCAACUGUGGGCGUGCGGGCGAUACGGGCAGACUUGAGUACUGCAGGGGAGACUGGAAUUCCUGGUGUAGCGGUGGAAUGCGCAGAUAUCAGGAGGAACACCGGUGGCGAAGGCGGGUCGCUGGGCAGUGAACUGACGCUGAGGAGCGAAAGCGUGGGGAGCGAACAGG